rnacentral:rRNA from 1 species
AAAGUCCUACGGGAGGCAGCGGUGGGGAAUAUUGCACAAUGGGCGAAAGCCUGAUGCAGCAACGCCGCGUGAAGGAAGGAGGGUUUCGGCUCGUAAACUUCUAUUAACAGGGACGAAAGAAAUGACGGUACCUGAAUAAGAAGCCCCGGCUAACUACGUGCCAGCAGCCGCGGUAAUACGUAGGGGGCAAGCGUUAUCCGGAAUUACUGGGUGUAAAGGGUGAGUAGGCGGUAUGGUAAGCCAGAUGUGAAAGCCUUGGGCUUAACCCGGGGAUUGCAUUUGGAACUAUCAAGCUAGAGUACAGG